GCGAGUGUGGCGGAACUGGUAGACGCGCUAGACUUAGGAUCUAGUGUCUUUCGGCGUGGGGGUUCGACUCCCUUCACUCGCA
rnacentral:tRNA from 1 species